UCUUGUAGAAUGAGGAAGAUUUAGGCCAUAACAGGUCUGUGAUGCUCUUAGAUGUCCUGGGCUGCACGCGUACUACAAUAACGGUACCAGCGAGCGCUAUGGUUUUUUAACCCCUUAUCCUAAUAGGAUUGGGUAAACUUUUCAAACACCGUUAUGACAGGGAUCGAGGAUUGGAACAUCCUCGUGAACGAGGAAUUCCUAGUAAGCGUGGUUCAUCAUACCACAUUGAUUACGUCCCUGCCUUUUGUACACACCGCCCGUCGCUCCUACCGAUGGGACGAAGAGAUGAACCUGGCGGACCAAACCGUAAGGUGAGGGAAACCAGUUAAAUCUAUUCGUCUGUAGGAAGGAAAAGUCGUAACAAGGUCUUCGUAGGUGAACCUGCGUAGGGAUCAUUU
rnacentral:rRNA from 1 species